UUCCUGCAGAUUGUUUCUUUUGCCGUGCAAGUUUAAGUUUUUGCACGGCAAAAGAAACAAUCCAGAGGGU
ensembl:miRNA MIR4445 microRNA 4445